GGUUAAGCGACUAAGCGUACACGGUGGAUGCCCUGGCAGUCAGAGGCGAUGAAGGACGUGCUAAUCUGCGAAAAGCGCCGGCGAGGUGAUAUGAACCCUUGACCCGGCGAUGUCCGAAUGGGGAAACCCAGUGCAAUUCGUUGCACUAUCGUUAACUGAAUACAUAGGUUAACGAGGCGAACCGGGGGAACUGAAACAUCUAAGUACCCCGAGGAAAAGAAAUCAACCGAGAUUCCCCCAGUAGCGGCGAGCGAACGGGGAGCAGCCCGGAGUCUGAAUCAGCUUGUGUGUUAGUGGAACGGUCUGGAAAGUCCGACGGUACAGGGUGAUAGUCCCGUACACGAAAGCACACAUGCUGUGAACUCGAAGAGUAGGGCGGGACACGUGGUAUCCUGUCUGAAUAUGGGGGGACCAUCCUCCAAGGCUAAAUACUCCUGACUGACCGAUAGUGAACCAGUACCGUGAGGGAAAGGCGAAAAGAACCCCGGCGAGGGGAGUGAAAAAGAACCUGAAACCGUGUACGUACAAGCAGUGGGAGCCUCUUUAUGGGGUGACUGCGUACCUUUUGUAUAAUGGGUCAGCGACUUAUAUUCUGUAGCAAGGUUAACCGUAUAGGGGAGCCGAAGGGAAACCGAGUCUUAACUGGGCGUUAAGUUGCAGGGUAUAGACCCGAAACCCGGUGAUCUAGCCAUGGGCAGGUUGAAGGUUGGGUAACACUAACUGGAGGACCGAACCGACUAAUGUUGAAAAAUUAGCGGAUGACCUGUGGCUGGGGGUGAAAGGCCAAUCAAACCGGGAGAUAGCUGGUUCUCCCCGAAAGCUAUUUAGGUAGCGCCUCGUGAACUCAUCUUCGGGGGUAGAGCACUGUUUCGGCUAGGGGGCCAUCCCGGCUUACCAACCCGAUGCAAACUACGAAUACCGAAGAAUGUUAUCACGGGAGACACACGGCGGGUGCUAACGUCCGUCGUGAAGAGGGAAACAACCCAGACCGCCAGCUAAGGUCCCAAAGUCAUGGUUAAGUGGGAAACGAUGUGGGAAGGCACAGACAGCCAGGAUGUUGGCUUAGAAGCAGCCAUCAUUUAAAGAAAGCGUAAUAGCUCACUGGUCGAGUCGGCCUGCGCGGAAGAUGUAACGGGGCUAAACCAUGCACCGAAGCUGCGGCAGCGACACUAUGUGUUGUUGGGUAGGGGAGCGUUCUGUAAGCCGUUGAAGGUGUGCUGUGAGGCAUGCUGGAGGUAUCAGAAGUGCGAAUGCUGACAUAAGUAACGAUAAAGCGGGUGAAAAGCCCGCUCGCCGGAAGACCAAGGGUUCCUGUCCAACGUUAAUCGGGGCAGGGUGAGUCGACCCCUAAGGCGAGGCCGAAAGGCGUAGUCGAUGGGAAACAGGUUAAUAUUCCUGUACUUGGUGUUACUGCGAAGGGGGGACGGAGAAGGCUAUGUCAGCCGGGCGACGGUUGUCCCGGUUUAAGCAUGUAGGCGGAGGUUCCAGGUAAAUCCGGUACCUUUUAACGCUGAGGUGUGAUGACGAGGCACUACGGUGCUGAAGUGAUAAAUGCCCUGCUUCCAGGAAAAGCCUCUAAGCAUCAGGUAACAUCAAAUCGUACCCCAAACCGACACAGGUGGUCAGGUAGAGAAUACCAAGGCGCUUGAGAGAACUCGGGUGAAGGAACUAGGCAAAAUGGUGCCGUAACUUCGGGAGAAGGCACGCUGAUGUGUAGGUGAAGCCCCUGCGGGCGGAGCUGAAAUCAGUCGAAGAUACCAGCUGGCUGCAACUGUUUAUUAAAAACACAGCACUGUGCAAACACGAAAGUGGACGUAUACGGUGUGACGCCUGCCCGGUGCCGGAAGGUUAAUUGAUGGGGUUAGCGGCAACGCGAAGCUCUUGAUCGAAGCCCCGGUAAACGGCGGCCGUAACUAUAACGGUCCUAAGGUAGCGAAAUUCCUUGUCGGGUAAGUUCCGACCUGCACGAAUGGCGUAAUGAUGGCCAGGCUGUCUCCACCCGAGACUCAGUGAAAUUGAACUCGCUGUGAAGAUGCAGUGUACCCGCGGCAAGACGGAAAGACCCCGUGAACCUUUACUAUAGCUUGACACUGAACACUGGUCCUUGAUGUGUAGGAUAGGUGGGAGGCUUUGAAGCGUGGACGCCAGUCUGCGUGGAGCCGACCUUGAAAUACCACCCUUUAAUGGCUGGUGUUCUAACGUAGACCCGUAAUCCGGGUUGCGGACAGUGUCUGGUGGGUAGUUUGACUGGGGCGGUCUCCUCCCAAAGAGUAACGGAGGAGCACGAAGGUUGGCUAAUCCUGGUCGGACAUCAGGAGGUUAGUGCAAUGGCAUAAGCCAGCUUGACUGCGAGCGUGACGGCGCGAGCAGGUGCGAAAGCAGGUCAUAGUGAUCCGGUGGUUCUGAAUGGAAGGGCCAUCGCUCAACGGAUAAAAGGUACUCCGGGGAUAACAGGCUGAUACCGCCCAAGAGUUCAUAUCGACGGCGGUGUUUGGCACCUCGAUGUCGGCUCAUCACAUCCUGGGGCUGAAGUAGGUCCCAAGGGUAUGGCUGUUCGCCAUUUAAAGUGGUACGCGAGCUGGGUUUAGAACGUCGUGAGACAGUUCGGUCCCUAUCUGCCGUGGGCGCUGGAGAAUUGAGGGGGGCUGCUCCUAGUACGAGAGGACCGGAGUGGACGCAUCACUGGUGUUCGGGUUGUCAUGCCAAUGGCACUGCCCGGUAGCUAAAUGCGGAAGAGAUAAGUGCUGAAAGCAUCUAAGCACGAAACUUGCCCCGAGAUGAGUUCUCCCUGAGACUUUAAGUCUCCUGAAGGAACGUUGAAGACGACGACGUUGAUAGGUCGGGUGUGUAAGCGCAGCGAUGCGUUGAGCUAACCGAUACUAAUGAACCGUGAGGCUUAACCUU
rnacentral:rRNA from 1 species